rnacentral:rRNA from 1 species
CGAGCGGAAGGCCCUUCGGGGUACUCGAGCGGCGAACGGGUGAGUAACACGUGAGCAACCUGCCCCAGGCUUUGGGAUAACCCCGGGAAACCGGGGCUAAUACCGAAUAUGACCUCUGACCGCAUGGUUGGUGGUGGAAAGUUUUUCGGCUUGGGAUGGGCUCGCGGCCUAUCAGCUUGUUGGUGGGGUGAUGGCCUACCAAGGCGACGACGGGUAGCCGGCCUGAGAGGGCGACCGGCCACACUGGGACUGAGACACGGCCCAGACUCCUACGGGAGGCAGCAGUGGGGAAUAUUGCACAAUGGGCGGAAGCCUGAUGCAGCGACGCCGCGUGAGGGAUGACGGCCUUCGGGUUGUAAACCUCUUUCAGCAGGGACGAAGCGUAAGUGACGGUACCUGCAGAAGAAGCGCCGGCCAACUACGUGCCAGCAGCCGCGGUAAGACGUAGGGCGCGAGCGUUGUCCGGAUUUAUUGGGCGUAAAGAGCUCGUAGGCGGCUUGUCGCGUCGACCGUGAAAACUUGGGGCUCAACCCCAAGCCUGCGGUCGAUACGGGCAGGCUAGAGUUCGGUAGGGGAGACUGGAAUUCCUGGUGUAGCGGUGAAAUGCGCAGAUAUCAGGAGGAACACCGGUGGCGAAGGCGGGUCUCUGGGCCGAUACUGACGCUGAGGAGCGAAAGCGUGGGGAGCGAACAGGAUUAGAUACCCUGGUAGUCCACGCUGUAAACGUUGGGCGCUAGGU